GACGAAGGAUGCGAGCGUUAUCCGGAAUUACUGGGCGUAAAGGGCGUCUAGGCGGUCAGGUAUGUCACCCGUGAAAGCCCUCGGCUCAACCGAGGAAAGUCGGGUGAAACUGCUUGGCUUGGGUUCAGGAGAGGAGGGUGGAACUCACAGAGUAGCGGUGGAAUGCGUAGAUACUGUGAGGUACCCCGAUGGCGAAGGCAACCCUCCAGCCUGAUACCGACGCUGAAGCGCGAAAGCGUGGGGAGCAAAGGGGAUUAGAUACCCCCGUA
rnacentral:rRNA from 1 species